AUUGAACGCUGGCGGAAUGCUUUACACAUGCAAGUCGAACGGUAGAGGGGGCAACCCCUCGAGAGUGGCGAACGGGUGAGUAAUGUAUCGGAACGUGCCCAGUCGUGGGGGAUAACGUAGUGAAAAUUACGCUAAUACCGCAUACGAUCUAUGGAUGAAAGCGGGGGAUCGCAAGACCUCGCGCGAUUGGAGCGGCCGAUGGCAGAUUAGGUAGUUGGUGGGGUAAAGGCCUACCAAGCCUGCGAUCUGUAGCUGGUCUGAGAGGCCGACCAGCCACACGGGGACUGAGACACGGCCCAGACUCCUACGGGAGGCAGCAGUGGGGAAUUGUGGACAAUGGGCGAAAGCCUGAUCCAGCCAUACCGCGUGUGGGAAGAAGGCCUUCGGGUUGUAAACCACUUUUGUCAGGGAAGAAAUGCUCUGGGCUAAUACCCUGGGGAGAUGACGGUACCUGAAGAAUAAGCACCGGCUAACUACGUGCCAGCCGCCGCAGUAA
rnacentral:rRNA from 1 species